CGGGGAAGCACGGGUAGCACGGUGACGACGCCUCCAAGGAGGUGACGACGCCCGCAGGCGUCGCCGUCGUCCGCUUCACGCUGGGAUUUCACCCCGGCCAUGCCGUCGACUCCAACGCCCAUGGAACACAACAAGGAGCCGGUUUGACCACACCGCCGAGGAGAGGUGAGCCAGAACGCUGUCAGCAGGAAGGGAUGCGCUGGCCACCGUCUCACCACCAUCAAAAACAGGGGCUGGACGGUGAGGAUCCGGCCCGCCGCCGCCU
rnacentral:lncRNA from 1 species